AAGACAGAAACUAGAUCCAGAGCCAAACGAGUAAACCGAGCCAUCUUGUGUUACAGCUAAAACAUAGCUCGGCCCCGUUGAGAUUUGCACCACAGGGCCAACGCUUUGAAGAAACUCAACAGCUUUGGGUACUGGUCUGUCCAAGGUAUCGCCAUGACCAAGCUGUCCGUGUGUGUUUGAUCCACAAGUAAAAACUCUACCUUCCCUUGAUAGAAACACAGUGAAGUGAAGCCCUGCAGCAACCUGGUACAGAAGAUGAGAUCAGGAAUGUUCUAUUAACUCAAUUUAGAUACAGUUGGUAUCAGUUUUUACCUGCUUACAAGGAGUUCCCUUCAAAGCCUCAACAAGCUUAGGCCUAAAUAUUGGGCGGCUUAUAUCUAAGUGACCACAGCAAUGCGAUGAAUUAUCCCCACAUGUGAGAACCUGUGCAGGUUUUCAAGUAAGCAUACAUACUCAAUAGGACAGAUUUUUAUAGAAAGAAGAAGCAACCAACCUCUCCAGAUUGCAACACAAAAGCAGAAUGGUUCUGUGUGGCAGAGACUUGAGCCACUUGAGCAGAGAAGGGGAAAACUACGAGAACGGCCAUAAUUGAGAAACAUUCUAACUCCCAAGCAGCCACGGAGUGAGUCAUGAUCAAGCUGAGAUCUUUCGUUAUCUCCAAACCCAAGAAUGCCCGACCAUUGAGUCAUCACAUUUAUACAAACAUGAGCUAACUUGAGAAACAUAGUGUGGUUUCAGUCUAGAGAUGUUAAAAUGGGCCUGAAAGCCCGCGGGCUUUAACGAGCUGACCCGUGACCCAUUUAUCAUCACGUAGAAAUAACCGAGUUUAUAUGGGUUGGCCCUUUAUACCCGUUUUGUUAAUGGGCAUAUCCGUUAAAUAAAUUUGUGUCCGUUUAGGUCUAUUAUAGGUUUAUAAAAAAAUUACAAAUUUAUAUUUAGUAGGGGUUAUUGGUUGUUGUAUUUUAAUGGAUUUGAAAAUCCGAACUAAAUCUAGUGUUAUUGGUUCUAUAAUUUUCAAAUCUGUAUUAAAAUCAUGUGUUAUUGGUUUAAUGAUUCAUAAAUUCUGUAUCAAAUCAAGUGUUAUUCAAUCGUACGGAUUUACUAAUAUAUUUGAUUUUAUAAUGGAUUUGAAUGGAUUUGUUUGGAUUUUUUAGUUAAAAAUACAAAGACUCAAAUCCGAGGGAAAACCUCCGGAUUUGCGUAUUUUACUUGGAUUUAUAAAUACUAUAUGGAUUUCUAAAUCAAUCAAAAAUAUAUAAACCAAUAACACCUAAGGAUAUUUUUAAGAAAUUUAUAACUUUUAAAUUUUUUUUUUGAAACAAAAUAGUCAUAUUGUAUUUAGUUUGUGUGUUUUUAUUUUUGAAAAAGUUUUUAUUUUUGUUAUAAUUGUGUGUUUAAAACUUACUAUAACUUGGGUGAAUUGUUAUUUUUGAUCCAAGUCAUGCGAUUGAAAGUUAAAAGACUCUAAUGGAGUAUUGAAACAAUAACAAUAACAACGUCAUUACAUAAAACGUCAUAAUGGAUUAACAUGGUAAGAGAGAAAUAAUAACAAAUUUGUAUUUAAAAAAAACUGUAUGUAAAAAAUAAUAAUAAACGGACUCACGGAUCUAAAGAAACAUUUCCAUUUCCAUGUUAAACGAGUUCACAGUUAAAUGGGUUUUAACGGGUUCACAAUUAAAUGGGCAUACGGUUAACCCGCUUUAAACAAACAUGGUCUAAACAGGCCCGGGUAGUCCGCAUUAACAUUCCUAGUUCAGUCCCAGCCCAGAGCACUACUUUGUUCUGUUUUGAACAUUACUUGUGUUUGCUAGCGUUCCAAAUGAGAGCCUUUGUUCACCACUUUCUUCCCAUAACUUUUUUGUUGUUGUGUGUGCGCUUUCAUCAAGAAUACAAUAACCAAUAAUCACUAAGUAUUCCGUCCCACUAGUCCCUAAGCUGAGCAUAUCUCUUUGUAAUGAGCUUCCAAAACACAUUGCUAUAAAUCCUAGUGGUCCACCGACGAUUUUGGUAACCGACACUUUCUGUUUUUGGAAACCAUCAUUAUUUCCAACUACCCAUUUAUGACAUCCUCGAUUAUUGCACUAUGUAUUUCUUCUAUGGAGUGACCUCAUAGAUUUUCCAAAUUGGAAUCAUUUACCAUUGAUAUUCAAUUUUUUCGCUCUUUCCAAUUGAAUCUAGUCUCAGUUCAUACGAAUUUCAUACAUUCCACAGGUGGAUCGACGUCAUUCCCAUUCCAUUACAAUUCAUACCGGAAAUAUCUUUGGUACAGUCAUGGACUAACAAAAAAACAUCAAAGAGAUACAAAUCAUACAAAAGACACUAACCGGUUAACCCAAUCUCAAGCCGGUUCAUACAAACAAGCUUGUUUUAUUUUUACCUUUUGGAUCAACAAAGUCGGCUACGAGAACGGCCACAAUGAAGAAAGAUCUCGGUAGGUUCCAAGCAGCCACGGAGCGAGUCGUGACCAAGCUGAGCUCUUUCGUUAUCCCCAAACCCGAAUAUGCGACCACCUUGAGUCACCACAAUGGUGUGAUACAAACCUGUGCUUACUUGACACACACGGUGUUGUUUCAGACACUCCAACACUCUUGGCCUCAGGACUUUGUCUGAAACUCCUCUGUCAGGGAACCCUAGGCUUCCAAAUCCCAUCCACCCAAAACCAUACAACAAUCCACCUUCCACUAAUACAAAAGUUUUCCUCUUUCUUGCACACACCUGCAAGACAAUGUAGAGUCAUGAUCAGCAUAUCAGUUCCUGCUCAAGAACUCUUAGAAUACAGGAACAAUCGUUGUGCUUUACACGAAAGAAUCUGACCUGGACAGCGAGGCAGUUGUUGAGACUGACUAAAACUUGAGGAGUGAUCUUGUCGUUUUCAUCUCCAUGGCCUAGAGCACCACAGUAACCUUUACCCCAUGUGUAUACCUAAGGGUUCAAAGAACAAUCAAAACAAGAUUCUUCUGAUUUCUCAAAACCAAAUUGAGACAUAGAGAGAGAGAUGGAAACAAAGAGCUUACACGGCCAAUGGAAUCAAGUGCCACGGCGUGUUCAUCCCCUGCAGAGACACGGAGUAUAUGGAUACCUUUUCUUUUAAAAGCCUGAAUGACACGCGGCUGGUGCUCGUCCUGCUGCUCUCCAUGACCAAGACAGAAACUAGAUCCAGAGCCAAACGAGUAAACCGAGCCAUCUUGUGUUACAGCUAAAACAUAGCUCGGCCCCGUUGAGAUUUGCACCACAGGGCCAACGCUUUGAAGAAACUCAACAGCUUUGGGUACUGGUCUGUCCAAGGUAUCGCCAUGACCAAGCUGUCCGUGUGUGUUUGAUCCACAAGUAAAAACUCUACCUUCCCUUGAUAGAAACACAGUGAAGUGAAGCCCUGCA
rnacentral:lncRNA from 1 species